GAGCAGGGCCUUGCGCAAUGGAAACUUUCGAACCGUGUCAGGUCUUGACGGAAGCAGCACUAAGGAAGAAUUUUCAUGUGCCGUAAGUUCCCCCUGCUGGAGC
rnacentral:SRP_RNA from 1 species